AAUCACUGGAGGGAUGGGUGUCGAUAUAGCUAUAGAAGCGCUGGGGAGACCAUCAACUUUUAUGCAGUGCACAAAAAGUAUACGAGAUGGUGGAAAAGCUGUUAUGAUAGGACUUGCUUCAAACACUGCUGUGGGGGAGAUAAAUAUAAACCAUCUGGUUCGUCGACAGAUAAAAAUAAUUGGCUCAUAUGGUGCAAGGGCCAGACAAGAUCUCCCUCAGGUGGUUAAGCUUGCACAGAGGGGUGUCUUCAAUCUCCAAAAUACUGUUUCCAGAAAAUGCAAAUUUGAAGAAGCCAAUAGCGCAUAUGAUGAUCUCAAUCAUGGAAAGAUUGUUGGUCGAGCAGUUGUUGAGAUUAUGUAGCUCAAGAAUGUUUAGGUUUCUAGAUGCGCUUAAAUUUCCAGCAAGAGGAUAUCUUCAGGUGGGAGCACUCGUUCUAACAUUGGAAGGAAAGUUCCAAAUUGUUUACUGCUUGUGUUGUAUGAAUCUCAAACUACCAGGUCAUUGGCAUGGUGCCGAUUGUAGAAUACAGAGACAUUUGAACUUAUUUUGCUGUGAAAAUUUAGCGAAUUCUUGAGAAGUUGAUAGGGUCGAAAGUAUCUAGAGAAAUGAUGUCGUUAGGUGAAGAUAUGUAUAUGUUUUGUAUCUAGGUAAAUGCUGGCUUGUAGACUAAGCAGAUUUGGAUACUGUGUCUGAAUAAAUGCUGUUAUUCGGAGGGGUAAAAAAAGGUAAAAGGAGCUAUCGACCGAA